rnacentral:rRNA from 1 species
UACAGAGGAGCCAAGCGUUGUCCGGAUUGACUGGGCGUAAAGCGCACGCAGGCGGUCGCGCGCGUGGGUGUGAAAUCUGGCCGCUUAACGGCCAGGCGCCAUCCCAUACGGCGCGACUGGAGUGAUGCAGAGGUCGGUGGAAUUGCCGGUGUAGUGGUGAAAUGCGUAGAGAUCGGCAGGAACACCGAUGGCGAAGGCAGCCCCCUGGGAUAAUACUGACGCUCAUGCACGAAAGCGUGGGGAGCAAA